ensembl:misc_RNA Y_RNA Y RNA
AGCUUGUCUGAGUGCAGUAAUGUUUAUAACUGGUUGAUCACAACUGGUUACACAUUUCUUUGUUCUUUUUCUCCUCUCACUACUUUACUUUACUAACCAUAA